AAAAGAAAUCAACCGAGAUUCCCCCAGUAGCGGCGAGCGAACGGGGAGCAGCCCAGAGCCUGAAUCAGUAUGUGUGUUAGUGGAAGCGUCUGGAAAGGCGCGCGAUACAGGGUGACAGCCCCGUACACAAAAAUGCACAUGCUGUGAGCUCGAUGAGUAGGGCGGGACACGUGGUAUCCUGUCUGAAUAUGGGGGGACCAUCCUCCAAGGCUAAAUACUCCUGACUGACCGAUAGUGAACCAGUACCGUGAGGGAAAGGCGAAAAGAACCCCGGCGAGGGGAGUGAAAAAGAACCUGAAACCGUGUACGUACAAGCAGUGGGAGCACGCUUAGGCGUGUGACUGCGUACCUUUUGUAUAAUGGGUCAGCGACUUAUAUUCUGUAGCAAGGUUAACCGAAUAGGGGAGCCGAAGGGAAACCGAGUCUUAACUGGGCGUUAAGUUGCAGGGUAUAGACCCGAAACCCGGUGAUCUAGCCAUGGGCAGGUUGAAGGUUGGGUAACACUAACUGGAGGACCGAACCGACUAAUGUUGAAAAAUUAGCGGAUGACUUGUGGCUGGGGGUGAAAGGCCAAUCAAACCGGGAGAUAGCUGGUUCUCCCCGAAAGCUAUUUAGGUAGCGCCUCGUGAAUUCAUCUCCGGGGGUAGAGCACUGUUUCGGCAAGGGGGUCAUCCCGACUUACCAACCCGAUGCAAACUGCGAAUACCGGAGAAUGUUAUCACGGGAGACACACGGCGGGUGCUAACGUCCGUCGUGAAGAGGGAAACAACCCAGACCGCCAGCUAAGGUCCCAAAGUCAUGGUUAAGUGGGAAACG
rnacentral:rRNA from 1 species